UUAUUUGAGAGUUUGAUCCUGGCUCAGGAUGAACGCUGGCGGCGUGCCUAACACAUGCAAGUUGAGCGAUUUACUUCGGUAAAGAGCGGCGGACGGGUGAGUAACGCGUGGGUAACCUACCCUGUACACACGGAUAACAUACCGAAAGGUAUGCUAAUACGGGAUAAUAUAUUUGAGAGGCAUCUCUUGAAUAUCAAAGGUGAGCCAGUACAGGAUGGACCCGCGUCUGAUUAGCUAGUUGGUAAGGUAACGGCUUACCAAGGCGACGAUCAGUAGCCGACCUGAGAGGGUGAUCGGCCACAUUGGAACUGAGACACGGUCCAAACUCCUACGGGAGGCAGCAGUGGGGAAUAUUGCACAAUGGGCGAAAGCCUGAUGCAGCAACGCCGCGUGAGUGAUGAAGGCCUUCGGGUCGUAAAACUCUGUCCUCAAGGAAGAUAAUGACGGUACUUGAGGAGGAAGCCCCGGCUAACUACGUGCCAGCAGCCGCGGUAAUACGUAGGGGGCUAGCGUUAUCCGGAUUUACUGGGCGUAAAGGGUGCGUAGGCGGUCUUUCAAGUCAGGAGUGAAAGGCUACGGCUCAACCGUAGUAAGCUCUUGAAACUGGGAGACUUGAGUGCAGGAGAGGAGAGUGGAAUUCCUAGUGUAGCGGUGAAAUGCGUAGAUAUUAGGAGGAACACCAGUUGCGAAGGCGGCUCUCUGGACUGUAACUGACGCUGAGGCACGAAAGCGUGGGGAGCAAACAGGAUUAGAUACCCUGGUAGUCCACGCUGUAAACGAUGAGUACUAGGUGUCGGGGGUUACCCCCUUCGGUGCCGCAGCUAACGCAUUAAGU
rnacentral:rRNA from 1 species